AAACUGUAAAAUGAUGGCGUCAAAGAAAUCGAAAUCUGAUGUCAUUCUAUAGUUUUUUUCAAAUUAAAACAAAAUUCAAUUACAAAGCAAACGAAUGGAAGUUACUACAUACGGAAUAUGCAAUAUUAUAUUAUUGGAACUUCCUCUCAAAUGGAAAAUUUUAUUGAGAAUGUAUAUAAGGUAUUCAAAAGCGCAGUAUGGACAGGAGAGGAAUUAUCGGAGUAUUUUGAGACGAACUGUGGAGUGAGGCAAGGAGGAGGAAUCAAUGUAGAAGGUUUGAGUAUACGUAUUCUUAUGUACGCAGACGACAUCGUUAUGUUAGCGGCCUGCCAAAAAUGAUAACUCAAUUGGAAACGUAUUGUACAUUAUGGAAUUUGGAAGUAAAUCUGACCAAGUCUAAAAUUUAGAUGUGAAACCAGAAAAAUGGUUUUAUAAUAAUUGUAAAGUUAUAAUAACUUCCGAGUUCAAAUAUUUAGAAGUCAAACCCUCACCAAAGCUUAAAAAACAUGUCGAAAAUCGCAAUAAGCAAGUAAAGUUAGCAGUUAACUUAACCUGGCAAAAGACAAGGUCUCGCUCAAAAUGAAA
rnacentral:sRNA from 1 species